AACUUUCAACAACGGAUCUCUUGGUUCUGGCAUCGAUGAAGAACGCANCGAAAUGCGAUAAGUAAUGUGAAUUGCAGAAUUCAGUGAAUCAUCGAAUCUUUGAACGCACAUUGCGCCCCUUGGUAUUCCGAGGGGCAUGCCUGUUCGAGCGUCA
rnacentral:rRNA from 1 species